UACAGAGGUCUCAAGCGUUGUUCGGAUUCAUUGGGCGUAAAGGGUGCGUAGGCGGCGCGGUAAGUCGGGUGUGAAAUCUCGGAGCUUAACUUCGGAACUGCAUUCCAUACUGCGGUGCUUGAGGACUGGAGAGGAGACUGGAAUUUACGGUGUAGCAGUGAAAUGCGUAGAGAUCGUAAGGAAGACCAGUGGCGAAGGCGGGUCUCUGGACAGUUCCUGACACUGAGGCACGAAGGCCAGGGGAGCAAACGGG
rnacentral:rRNA from 1 species